rnacentral:snRNA from 1 species
CCAUAUCUACUUCUCGAAUGGUUA